rnacentral:rRNA from 1 species
UACGUAGGGUCCGAGCGUUGUCCGGAUUUACUGGGCGUAAAGAGCGCGCAGGCGGUCGUUCAAGUCGCGUGUGAAAGCCCCCGGCUCAACUGGGGAGGGUCACGCGAUACUGAUCGACUCGAAGGCAGGAGAGGGUAGUGGAAUUCCCGGUGUAGUGGUGAAAUGCGUAGAUAUCGGGAGGAACACCAGUGGCGAAGGCGACUACCUGGCCUGUUCUUGACGCUGAGGCGCGAAAGCUAGGGGAGCAAACGGG